UUAAGCGACUAAGCGUACACGGUGGAUGCCCUGGCAGUCAGAGGCGAUGAAGGACGUGCUAAUCUGCGAAAAGCGUCGGUAAGGUGAUAUGAACCGUUAUAACCGGCGAUGUCCGAAUGGGGAAACCCAGUGCAAUUCGUUGCACUAUCGUUAACUGAAUACAUAGGUUAACGAGGCGAACCGGGGGAACUGAAACAUCUAAGUACCCCGAGGAAAAGAAAUCAACCGAGAUUCCCCCAGUAGCGGCGAGCGAACGGGGAGCAGCCCAGAGUCUGAAUCAGCUUGUGUGUUAGUGGAACGGUCUGGAAAGUCCGACGGUACAGGGUGAUAGUCCCGUACACCAAAAUGCACAGGUUGUGAACUCGAAGAGUAGGGCGGGACACGUGGUAUCCUGUCUGAAUAUGGGGGGACCAUCCUCCAAGGCUAAAUACUCCUGACUGACCGAUAGUGAACCAGUACCGUGAGGGAAAGGCGAAAAGAACCCCGGCGAGGGGAGUGAAAAAGAACCUGAAACCGUGUACGUACAAGCAGUGGGAGCACCUUCGGGUGUGACUGCGUACCUUUUGUAUAAUGGGUCAGCGACUUAUAUUCUGUAGCAAGGUUAACCGUAUAGGGGAGCCGCAGGGAAACCGAGUCUUAACUGGGCGUUAAGUUGCAGGGUAUAGACCCGAAACCCGGUGAUCUAGCCAUGGGCAGGUUGAAGGUUGGGUAACACUAACUGGAGGACCGAACCGACUAAUGUUGAAAAAUUAGCGGAUGACUUGUGGCUGGGGGUGAAAGGCCAAUCAAACCGGGAGAUAGCUGGUUCUCCCCGAAAGCUAUUUAGGUAGCGCCUCGUGAAUUCAUCUUCGGGGGUAGAGCACUGUUUCGGCUAGGGGGUCAUCCCGACUUACCAACCCGAUGCAAACUACGAAUACCGAAGAAUGUUAUCACGGGAGACACACGGCGGGUGCUAACGUCCGUCGUGAAGAGGGAAACAACCCAGACCGCCAGCUAAGGUCCCAAAGUCAUGGUUAAGUGGGAAACGAUGUGGGAAGGCAUAGACAGCCAGGAUGUUGGCUUAGAAGCAGCCAUCAUUUAAAGAAAGCGUAAUAGCUCACUGGUCGAGUCGGCCUGCGCGGAAGAUGUAACGGGGCUAAACCAUGCACCGAAGCUGCGGCAGCGACACUAUGUGUUGUUGGGUAGGGGAGCGUUCUGUAAGCCUGCGAAGGUGUGCUGUGAGGCAUGCUGGAGGUAUCAGAAGUGCGAAUGCUGACAUAAGUAACGAUAAAGCGGGUGAAAAGCCCGCUCGCCGGAAGACCAAGGGUUCCUGUCCAACGUUAAUCGGGGCAGGGUGAGUCGACCCCUAAGGCGAGGCCGAAAGGCGUAGUCGAUGGGAAACAGGUUAAUAUUCCUGUACUUGGUGUUACUGCGAAGGGGGGACGGAGAAGGCUAUGUUAGCCGGGCGACGGUUGUCCCGGUUUAAGCAUGUAGGCUGGUUGUCCAGGCAAAUCCGGAUAAUCAAGGCUGAGGUGUGAUGACGAGGCACUACGGUGCUGAAGUAACAAAUGCCCUGCUUCCAGGAAAAGCCUCUAAGCAUCAGGUAACAUCAAAUCGUACCCCAAACCGACACAGGUGGUCAGGUAGAGAAUACCAAGGCGCUUGAGAGAACUCGGGUGAAGGAACUAGGCAAAAUGGUGCCGUAACUUCGGGAGAAGGCACGCUGGUGUGUAGGUGAAGCCCCUGCGGGUGGAGCUGAGACCAGUCGAAGAUACCAGCUGGCUGCAACUGUUUAUUAAAAACACAGCACUGUGCAAACACGAAAGUGGACGUAUACGGUGUGACGCCUGCCCGGUGCCGGAAGGUUAAUUGAUGGGGUUAUCCGUAAGGAGAAGCUCUUGAUCGAAGCCCCGGUAAACGGCGGCCGUAACUAUAACGGUCCUAAGGUAGCGAAAUUCCUUGUCGGGUAAGUUCCGACCUGCACGAAUGGCGUAAUGAUGGCCAGGCUGUCUCCACCCGAGACUCAGUGAAAUUGAACUCGCUGUGAAGAUGCAGUGUACCCGCGGCAAGACGGAAAGACCCCGUGAACCUUUACUAUAGCUUGACACUGAACAUUGAGCCUUGAUGUGUAGGAUAGGUGGGAGGCUUUGAAGCGUGGACGCCAGUCUGCGUGGAGCCAACCUUGAAAUACCACCCUUUAAUGUUUGAUGUUCUAACGUUGGCCCCUGACCGGGGUUGCGGACAGUGUCUGGUGGGUAGUUUGACUGGGGCGGUCUCCUCCCAAAGCGUAACGGAGGAGCACGAAGGUUAGCUAAUCCUGGUCGGACAUCAGGAGGUUAGUGCAAUGGCAUAAGCUAGCUUGACUGCGAGCGUGACGGCGCGAGCAGGUGCGAAAGCAGGUCAUAGUGAUCCGGUGGUUCUGAAUGGAAGGGCCAUCGCUCAACGGAUAAAAGGUACUCCGGGGAUAACAGGCUGAUACCGCCCAAGAGUUCAUAUCGACGGCGGUGUUUGGCACCUCGAUGUCGGCUCAUCACAUCCUGGGGCUGAAGUAGGUCCCAAGGGUAUGGCUGUUCGCCAUUUAAAGUGGUACGCGAGCUGGGUUUAGAACGUCGUGAGACAGUUCGGUCCCUAUCUGCCGUGGGCGCUGGAGAAUUGAGGGGGGCUGCUCCUAGUACGAGAGGACCGGAGUGGACGCAUCACUGGUGUUCGGGUUGUCAUGCCAAUGGCACUGCCCGGUAGCUAAAUGCGGAAGAGAUAAGUGCUGAAAGCAUCUAAGCACGAAACUUGCCCCGAGAUGAGUUCUCCCUGAGACUUUAAGUCUCCUGAAGGAACGUUAAAGACGAUGACGUUGAUAGGCCGGGUGUGUAAGCGCAGCGAUGCGUUGAGCUAACCGGUACUAAUGAACCGUGAGGCUUAACCUU
rnacentral:rRNA from 1 species